rnacentral:rRNA from 1 species
UACGUAGGGUGCGAGCGUUAAUCGGAAUUACUGGGCGUAAGCGUGCGCAGGCGGUUGUGCAAGACAGAUGUGAAAUCCCCGGGCUUAACCUGGGAAUUGCAUUUGUGACUGCACGGCUAGAGUGUGUCAGAGGGGGGGUAGAAUUCCACGUGUAGCAGUGAAAUUCGUAGAUAUCGGGAGGAACACCGGCGGCGAAAGCGGCCACCU